CUGUGUACUGUACACAGAGAGAGAGCUAGUGAGAUCUCCGCUGUUGUUUACAGUGUGGAAGACACGCUUUACUUGUAUAAAACUAUCACAGUGUAACCAAUUAUACAAGUUCAAGUCCUGCAUUCAAAAUCCUACGCUGAAGAUAGAUUGUGGGAUUUUUACAUGUAGAUGUACAUCUGUUAUAUUCAAAUGAGUUCACACAGUCCUAUGUUAAGUCUAUCAGCUCCAGAUGAAUUUGGUUUCAUUUUGCAACAUACAGGAGUCAAUUAGUUUGACAGAGCUAAAGACAGAUACAGCUCCAAUGGAACUGUGGUCGGCUGCAGCAAUGAGGGGGAGAGUAGAGCCUGUGGAGGAAAAACCUACAAGGUGUCCAAGAAAAGUUCCAAGAAAAGCUCCAGAUAAAAAAACAGAAGAAACCUUAGAUGAACAAUAAGCAUCCAAAAAAGGACAGCAAUGCCGUGUAUUAUUCAACAAUGUCUGUGCAAUUACUUUCACUGCCAGUAGGGGGAGACAAAAGUUCUACACUGCAAGUUUAAAUAAAGUACUAUCCUGGCAAAAUACAGGCCUGCACCUCUAUGGAAACAUCAUAAUUAUGGCAAGAAGAAAGAACUAAUUCAUGUCUUUUGAGCUGUAUAGCAAAGUAAUAGUGCUAUAAAUCACAAUAAAAGAAAGUGAUGAAUUCUUUAUUUACUUUAUCACAACAAAACAAAACUUGGAAUUGACAUGUACAACAUUUUUCAAGUGUUCACAGAUGAUACCAAUACAGGAUAAAAUGGUGGCUCUGCAUACCAUAGAUAAUUAACUACAUUUUUUUGGUUGUUUCCAUACUUAUGCUAAUACUUAUACUAGUAUACCAUACUACCUAUCUGCUCUGUGUAAACACUGCCUGCAGUUCAGCUGAGGAGUUCCUUAAUUUUUGUCAUGUGACUAUUAGUCACAGCUGAGCCACUCAUGGCUCCAUGAAUGUGUCGAGGAGCACAGAAUUUUGUUUUUGUUUGUUUUUUUUCUCCACAAAAUCUUGUUUGUACAAACAAUUCAUUUGUUUGUACAAAAUAAACAUUGGCGAUAUUUUUGGAAAGAAAAAAAAAUCAUCUCUUUCCGCAGAAAAUCAGAUCCUGCACAAGGCUGAUUGGCACAGUGUUAUAUAAUACAGAAUAUUAUACUACUGCUUACUAAAGAAAUAAAGCACACAUAUCAUGUUGCUGUUAUCUCUUUGGCACAACUGCUAACUAUUACACACAUCUGAAAGUUGACUCUGGGCUGAAACUAAAUACUCCUGGGUGAGGGGCUCCAAACCAAAAAGGUUGCACGACUCAAUCAAUUCUCAGAUUACUUUGAGACAGUUCGAUUUUGUAAACCACACGACAACCGCAGAAAAGCAUGUCAGCAAAUGUGUAUUUUUUCAGAUAGAUUUGCAGGUUUCCAGGGGCUCACGUAGCUAACACCAUGUGUAUUUCUCUUUAAAUUUUACUCAGAACCACUGUUCCCUCUACGCUGCGCGCGUGCGCAAUUGCGCACUGCUGACACGGUCUCCGCGCACAGAAAAUCUGCGCUGCGCACAAAAAAAAAAUCCAACCUAAAUUGUAAAUAAAAUAAACACGUAACAAUUCAUUCUGUGCUAUUUUUCAAUGUGAGUCAGUGAGUGACAGGUGACUGGCUGCUGCAGCCAAUGAUGCGAUUCACAUCCGUAUUUACCAUAGACUGUAUAUAAUGGUAUUUACGCAGCUAAUCAACGUCAGGCGUCCUUAUGUGCAGCCACCGUUGUUCUCAUAGAUAUGAAUGAGUAGAUAGGACACACCUCCUUUGAGCUGCGUGCUACGGCGAGGCUAAGCUAGUGGGGGCAAAGUUUCAGUGCAUUCCUUUGGUGUAGAUGGCGUGAAAACGGAAACAAGUAUGCCGUCUCACUGUGCUGCAUACAAUUACACACUGCGUCGUACGAUUGAGACAAGGAAACUUGGAAUGACUUUUCAUAGGUUUCCCAGAAACUAUGGGUUGAGGAGGAAUUGGAAGUUUGUCGGCUUAGACCUGGUGUCAUUCCAUCAGUGUUAAACUUCCCGGCUCAUCUUGGAAGAGUACGUGCCAGAAAGACCACAACCAAGCAGCCUUGAGAUCUUAGGCAGCGUCUCCCUCAGGUCCCUCUCUAUCUCCCCACACAUCCACCAACCACUGGAACACAUCUCCAAAGUUCUGCAAGGCCAGCUCAGCUUCCCCUCAGAAGAAGUGCCGCCACCUGCCAGAUGAAGGAGCCUUUUGAGAGGCAGCUGGCAUCGUGAUUGGACUGUACUUUGGUCUGUUCCAAUCCAGCUUCAGCUCCAGAGACGGCAGGCGGGACGAGUCAACGGAGGCCUGGUGGACGAAGGCAUGCAGCUGAGUACAAUCCAGAAAACAACAGAGGAGGAGUGCAGCAGCCCAGGGCAGAACAACCAGAGUAGCAUGACCAAAGAACUACAGACUCUUCACAACCUGCUCAAACUCUUGGUACAGGACCUCACCACACGGGUCAAGAAGGUUUCCAUCUCAUUUCUACUCUGAAGCUCACCUUCUCCUGCUCAACCUGCUGACAAAUGUUUCUGCUGCUCUAAAGUCUGGUCUCCAGAACUUCCUAAAAACUCUCAAAGUCUCUUCUGCUGCAGGCUGCUUUGUAGAACUGUUGCACAAAACCUCACUAAACGACAUGGAGGGGCCUCAAGAUAGUCGUCCAAAUGAAACCGUACAAAAACCAAACUAGCACAACCCAAACACUAAAGUCUCCUGCAGCCUACCAGAGAACCUCUGAGAACAGAGAAUCAGGACAGGAACUCUUACCUUCUGGACAACCAACGUUGGUUCACAAACAGGAAUACAGAAUGUGUCUGACCAAAAACCUCUAAAGACUCACUACAGCCAAGAUAAAGACACAACUCAGCUGCACCAAAUCCACUAAUCACUGCAAACAUUAGCACCAUGUGCUAACUGGCUAAAGAACCUCAUUUACCAAGACAACUAUCCAGUACAAAGCCCUAAAACACACCAAGAAACACAUUAAAGACGAUUUUACUGCUGGAAGCUGCAAGCCAACGCCUAAAGAACAAACUAAAGCAAUGGAGCCAAACCCGGUUCACUGGUGAAGAAGAGGAAAUGUUUGUCUGCAGGUAAAUAAAGCAGGAAGACACUGAGCUGCUCAGGUGUUCCUGAUAACACCAAGCAGCCACCUGGGCAGCUGCUCAGGUGUUCCUGAUAACACCAAGCAGCCACCUGGACAGCCAAUAGGAACACAGCUUACUGGAAGUCCAGAGGGCUGGGUUAGUGAAGGAAAUUUAAUUUAAAGUUGAAGCAGAAAGUUAACAAAGAAAGUUGAAAACCACCUUCUGAUCCCUGAAAUCUAUGAGUUUUCACACAAAGAACACCUGAACAUGUCAAACUGGUUCCAUAGUAGAACCAUCAUUGUAAAAACGUCAUAGUAUGGUGUGUUGCUCAAAAAACAUUAGGACCCGGCUGUCAGGGGACAAACAUGUAAGAAACAUGAGAACAGAGAGAACCCAACCAGUAGGUCACAGUUUAUCAUCCCCCAGUCAUCUCCUGAAGUCCAUAUGGUGAGAGACAUCAGUAUCUGGUUGUUAAUUUACCAGAGGAUGCUUAUAAUCAUGCUGAUGUGGUCUGUACUCUACAGUAUUUUAGUGACUCAAUAAAUGCCUAAGUUGUUUUUUUUUAAAAAUGUUUUUUAUUUUUUUUGUUUUUUUUAUACAUUAUUUUUAUAUGUAUAUUUUUGCCUUUACAAUACAAAAACAACAAAAAUUGUACAUUUAACAACAGAAAGAUGAGGUCAUCAUAACAGUCAGGGAGUUCGCCAGCAUGUAAAAUUAAGCUUGCAGAGGUAUAAAACAAUAUAUAAAUGGAAAAUGAGGUGGGUUACAUCAGGAUCAGGGUAUACAAGUCCAUGUUUCUUUCAGGUCCUUUCUUUUGAGUCCUUGAUGGUUAGUUAAAUCCAGAAAAACAAAUAACAGAUAAACUAAUCAAAAUAUAUUUUUAAAAAAACAGGAGAAUGGGUUUUUGUAAACACGGCUGAGGUAAACCAAAGCAGGAACAUCAACAUCCCUCCCGGUUGUAAUAUGACAUCCAGUUUUUCCAAUAUUUUUCUCCCUUUUUGGUGGUGUAUCUUAAGGAAAAUUUCAUUUGUUCCAUAUUAUGGAUGUCCUGAAUUAUUUUUUUCCAUUCAGUGAUUGUUGGAGAUUCUUUAUUCAGCCAUUUUUUAGUGAUUGCUUUUUUACUACCAGCCAAUAAAAUCUGCAAUAAAUAUCUCUCUCCUUUCUGGAGCCCACCUGGUAAAUUUCCUAAAUAUAUUACGUCAAAGGUAAAAUUGAUCUCUGGUGUGAUGAUAAGUCUCAUUGCAGUCACAACAUCCAUCCAAUAGGAGGAAAUAACAGGACAAUCCCAGGAUAUAUGGAAAUGCCCUGCAGAGUUACCACCACACAAUCUCCAACACUGUCCAUAUUCAGGUAUAUUAUUUUGUAAUUGCUUAAUUUUGGGGGUGAUAAAGAACCUCAAAAUAUUUUUCCAAGUAAAUUCUCUCCACAAAUGCGAACUAGAGGUAGUGGAUUGUGUUUUACAUAUAUUUAACCAUUCCUCUUCAGUUAACUUUACAUUUGCCUCUUUCUCCCAUCUGGUUUUAACAUACAUUGUAGAGAGCCCUCUUUCUUGUUGCAGGGAUGAGUAGAUUCAAGAAAUAUUUUUUUUUGUUAGUUUUACCAUUAAUAACGUCAACAAAAAUAUUAAUCAGGCAUUUUCCUCUCUCCUCAGUAUUUUUAAUAUGUUUGUCAAAGUAAGAUCUUAACUGUAAAUAUCUGUAGAAGUCUUGCUUCUCUAAGUUAUACAUUUUUAUAAGUUGUUGAAAAGUCUUCAGAUCCCCCUUGUUGGAAAUAGUGCAGUAAGACAUGAUCCCUCUGCUGAUCCAUUGCUUAAAUCUACUGUCCAUUUUAGCUGCUUCAAAAUCAGAAUCAUAAGCAAUCCAGCGUAAUAUUUUUGUUGAUUCUUCAAAUUUUUGAUCUUUACAUUUUUUAUACCAAAUGUUUAAUGGGACAGUACUCCAAUCGGGGAGUUUAUCUAGGCCUUUCUUUUGAAGGUUCCUGUCUCCUAGUAUAGAUGCUAGUGGUUCAUCUAUUUGGGUUUGCUCCAAAUCUUUCCAUUUUGUUUCAAUGUUAGGAUCACACCAGCAGACUGAUGACCGCAGUUGUGCUGCUCUGUAAUAAUCUUCAACGCAUGGCAGUGCCAUCCCACCUUUGUCUUUAGGAAGCUGCAAUGUCUGUAAUUUUACUCUUGGUCUUUUCUUUUCCCAAAUAAAAUUCAAGAUUAAUCUGUUCCAUUCAGUGAACUGUUUAGCGGGUAUCUCCACAGGUAGAGACUGAAAGAGAAAGAGUAGUCUGGGUAGUAUAUUCAUUUUAAUAAUAUCUAUUCGAUUGUAUAUAUUCAUAGGAAGUAAUGACCAGCGGUUUAAAUCAUUUUUAUUAUCAAUCGUUAAAGGUGGGUAAUUAUGAACAUAUAUCUGUAAUAAAUCCUUAGGUAUGUUUAUGCCUAAAUAUUUAAUAACUGAGUUUUUCCAUUUAAAUUUACUAAUUUUUUGAAUGUUUUUGGGUGCGAGGUAGUUGAAGGAGAGGGUUUGAGUUUUAUGCAAAUUUAACUUGUAGCCGGAGUAUAAACCAAGUGUUUCAAGCAGGGCUAAUAAUUGAGGCAGAGAUUUAUUUGGAUCAGUGAGUGUUAAAAGAAUAUCAUCAGCGUAAGCACAUAUUUGAUGUUGCUCAUCUCCAAUUACAACACCUGAUAUGUCUUUGUCUUCUCUGAUAGCCUGUAUCAGAGGUGCUAUAAAUAGGGCGAACAGGGUGGGGCACCCCUGUCUCCAUCCUCUUUGGAGGGAUAUAGUUUUGGAUAUAUUACCAUUAAUUUUAAUUCUGGCUGUUGGUGAGCUGUAUAAGGAUUUAAAGUAAUUCACCACCUGAGUAUUAAAGCCAAAUCUCUGAAGAACAAGUUAUAAGUACUGCCAUCGGACUGAGUCAAAAGCCUUUUCGGCAUCCAGACUGAUAACUACUGAUUCACAAUUAGUAUUUUUCAUAUAACUAAUUACAUGGAGUGCCUGCUUAACAUUAUCCUGCGUCUGUCUAUUCUUCACAAAACCUGUCUGGUCUGUGUCGAUUAAGUCAGAAAUAAUAUCUUCCAUCUGUUUUGCUAAGAUUGAAGCAUAUAAUCUAUGUUCAAAACAGAUAUAGGUCUAUAUGAGUUACAUUCAGUCUUAUCUUUACCGGGUUUAGGAAUUAUUGAGAUGACUGCCUGUCUCCAGGAUAAUGGAGUCUCUCCUCCUUUAAGAACAUAAUUAAAACAAUCUUUAAGGGUUGGCACUAAGAUUGCUCUGAAGCACUUAUACCAUUCUGAUGGACAGCCAUCAGCGCCUGGCAUUUUAUUUGUCUUCAAUCUUGAUAUCGCUUUAUUUAUUUCGUUUUCUGUUAUUUCUUGGGUUAACACUUUAUUUUGCUUUGUUUCAAUAGAUGGUAAAUCUGAAGAUGUCAGAAACCUAGACACUUCAAGUUCAGCUGCUUGUGGCUGUGCAUAUAAUUUUGUAUAAUACUUUUAAAAGGAAUUUUGUAUGUCAUCUGAUUCAUAACACAACUUAUUAUUGUCAGGAUCCUUCACUUUAGCUAUCAGUCUGUCCACCUGUUGUCUUCUGAUUCUCCAAGCCAGCAAUUUUUUAGAUUUUGUGCUGUUUUCAUAAUAGCUCUGUUUUAUAAACUUUGCUUUAUUCUCUAUCUGUUUUUCAUAGAUAUUAAUUAAUGUUUGUUUUGUUUCUUCUAUUUGAUUUAAGGUAUUAGUGUCAUUACCUUCCAUAUGUUUGCUCUCCAAAGAUUUAAGCCUCAUGGUCAGGUCUUUAAUUUGUUUCUCCUUUUCCCUUUUCUUCCGGGUUGACCACAUAAUGAACUUGCCCCUAAGGACAGCUUUAGCAGCGUCCCACAGAAUGCUAGGAGACACAGCUCCAUUAUCAUUAUUGGUCAUAUAUUCUUUAAAUUCAUUCUCCAUAAACGUCUGAAAGUUGGUGUCAUUAAGACAACCUGUGUUCAGUCUCCAUAAGGUCUCUUUUGGUUUGUUGCUUAAAUGAAGUGUCAAAUACACCCCAGCGUGGUCAGAUAUAUCUUUUACUCCAAUGUCACAUUUUAUAACUCUAUUUCUGCCUAUAUUAAACAUUAAAAAAAAUUGUCUAUUUGUGAAUAAACCCUGUGUGGGGAGGAGAAAAAAGUAAAA